UACGAAGGUGGCUAGCGUUGUUCGGAUUUAUUGGGCGUAAAGGGUCCGUAGGCGGUUUGAUAAGUCAGGUGUGAAAUCCCACAGCUUAACUGUGGACACGCAUUUGAUACUGUUAGACUAGAGUAUGAGAGGGGUGAGAGGAAUUUCCAGUGUAGGGGUGAAAUCCGUAGAUAUUGGAAAGAACACCGGCCGCGAAGGCGUUUCACUGGCUCAUUACUGACGCUCAGGGACGAAAGCUAGGGGAGCAAACGGG
rnacentral:rRNA from 1 species